CCUACGGGAGGCAGCAGUGGGGAAUUUUGGACAAUGGGCGAAAGCCUGAUCCAGCAAUGCCGCGUGAGUGAAGAAGGCCUUCGGGUUGUAAAGCUCUUUUGUCAGGGAAGAAACGGUGAAAGCUAAUAUCUUUUGCUAAUGACGGUACCUGAAGAAUAAGCACCGGCUAACUACGUGCCAGCAGCCGCGGUAAUACGUAGGGUGCAAGCGUUAAUCGGAAUUACUGGGCGUAAAGCGUGCGCAGGCGGUUUUGUAAGUCUGAUGUGAAAUCCCCGGGCUCAACCUGGGAAUUGCAUUGGAGACUGCAAGGCUAGAAUCUGGCAGAGGGGGGUAGAAUUCCACGUGUAGCAGUGAAAUGCGUAGAUAUGUGGAGGAACACCGAUGGCGAAGGCAGCCCCCUGGGUCAAGAUUGACGCUCAUGCACGAAAGCGUGGGGAGCAAACAGGAUUAGAUACCCUGGUAGUCCACGCCCUAAACGAUGUCUACUAGUUGUCGGGUCUUAAUUGACUUGGUAACGCAGCUAACGCGUGAAGUAGACCGCCUGGGGAGUACGGUCGCAAGAUUAAAACUUAAAUGAAUUGACCGGNUGAGAGAGCGAGACGACGACGAGGGAGGAGG
rnacentral:rRNA from 1 species